GGUGUUCAUUCCAUAAAAAAAAAAACCAUUUCUUUGCACACUUCAAAUAUCACAGAAAACAGGAGAGACAAACCCCUGCCUUAGAAAGACAGAAGUGAACACACGGAAUGUGGCCUUGGAAGCAAGUAAAAGUUAUGAAGCACGUAGACCCUAAGAUCAGAAUAUUGGGCAAGACUCAUCUGGGUAGUCGCUAUUGAAUUCAUUCCAACAUCUUCAGUAAGCAGGUUGGCUGGGAGCUGGCUGGUCCAGGAUCACCUGUGCUGGAAAACUUCCUCUGUCCCACAUGGUCUCUCAUCUUCCAGGAGGUUAGCGGAGCCUGUUCAUAUGGCAUCUGGGCAGCCUUCCAAGAAAGCCAGCAGUAGCAUUCAAGAAAGCUCAACAUUGUUUCACCAAAUUCUAUGGUAGAAACACUGUCACCAGGGAGCCCAAAUUCAGGGCGUGGGAGAGGUGAAGAUCUACUGUCUAAAAACAAAACAAAACACCUUAGGCUAGGCGACCAAGUGGUCACCAUUCUUCAUCCGUGAAAGGCCGGCAGACUGAGACACAGUAUACUGAGUUUGCUGGCAGCUAGUCUAUCCUGAAGUUCAGCAACUGUCUCCAGAGAGGGUCUUGCAGAGGUAAGUGUCUGUGUGUAGACAGAUGCUUUGAUAGUGUGGUUUUUUGGACGAACUCUUUAUUGAAUUUUCC
rnacentral:lncRNA from 1 species